rnacentral:lncRNA from 1 species
ACCUGGUUCUUCUGACAUCAUCAUUCUUUUCUCUGGACCACCCACUCAUUCAGUUCUAAGCAAAAAUUGCCUUGAAACAUGUCUAUGGUUGCUUUUCAAUUGUCAAUACCCAACAAGUCUCCUCUUCCCCCUCCUCCAAUUAGUCUAUAAGCUACUUGAGGACAGUGAUUUCUCCUUCUGGAUCCUUGGGAUGAACACAUGCCAUAUCAGUAAAAAUAGAUAAAUUAAAUGAGUGAUUGUAGAGGAGUGUAGGGUAGUGGAAAGAGUGCUAUAAUUGGUGUCAGGAAGACCUGAGUUCAAGCCCUGUCACUAACACUAUGUGGAUGGGUAUGGGCAAACUACUGAACCUCUCCUGACCCUCAGUCUCCUCUUCUGAGAAGUGGGAGUAACACUAUCCUCCCAACAUUGUUGUGAAGAAAUCAUUUUGCAAACGUUUAAGUUAAAAUGUGAGUUUUAAUGGUUAUCAACUAUGCAAAAGAAGCAGCAUUAAGUAGAUAGAGGGCACCACCUCCCAAGCAGAAAGAUUUGGGUUCAAAUUCCCUCUCACUUUCAUAGUGACUAUGGGACCCUAAUUAAGUGACUUAACCUCUUAGUGUCCUCAGAAACUCUCUAAGACUUCCAGUUGAUGAACAAGUGGAAACCUGCCCUGAUAAAGAGAGUUUUCCUCCCCAGAAGUUCCCUAUCAUAUGAAACCACAAAAUCACUGACAGAAAGAAAGGUGGAGUUGAAGGAGCAGUUAGAUGGCGCCAUAGUACACAGAGCACCUGGUUUCAAGUCAUGAAGACAAGUUCAAAUCCAGUCUUAGGCACUUUCUAGUUUUGUGAUCCUGAGCAGAAAGAAAGAAAGAAAGAAAGAAAGAAAGAAAGAAAGAAAGAAAGAAAGAAAGAAAGAAAGAAAGAAAGAAAGAAAGAAAGAAAGAAAGAAAGAAAGAAAGAAAGAAAGAAAGAAAGAAAGAAAGAAAGAAAGAAAGAAAGAAGGAAAGAAGGAAAGAAAGAAAGAAAGGCAUCACGUGACAAAAAGAUAUGAUAUAAAACUAUCUUUCUUUGGAAAUAGACAUAUACAAGUCAUUUGCCAAACAAUAUUUCUAUUGCUCUAUAGGAAAUUCUCCUGGUUCUGUGAAUUUUAGAAAUCUCUGCAGAUCUUUCUCAUCUUUUACCUAUGUGUUGUUUGACUUCCAGUUUCAUUCUUAAUUUCAUCAGAAUAAUUUGCUUUUUUUGAGAUGUCACAAAACUUUCUGUAAAUGUGUCUGGGAGUGAGUUUUUGUUUGUUUGAGGGGAGGUUUGAAACACAAAACUAAUUUAAUAGAAAUUUCUUUUGUUAUUCUUAGGAUAGAGGCAGCUAAAUAGCUUAGUAGAUUGGAAGCUAGAGAGGAGGUCCUCCGUUCAAAUUUGACCUCAAUCACUUCCUAGCUAUAUGAUGCUGGACAAGUAACUUAAUCCCCAUUGCCUAACUCUUACAUACUUCUGUCUUGGAACCAAUACAUAGUAUUAAUUCUAAGACCAAAGGUAAGGAUUUUUUAUUAGUGUGUCUUCCCUUCCACUGCUUCACCCUGUUUUGUGAGAUGAUCAUGUAUUUCGUUUCCCAUCAUCAUUCUCUGUAAGAUUUUACAAAUGAGUUUAUAUUCUAAACUAGAAGACAGCCCCCAGGCUAGAUUUGGCCCUUGAGCCACAGUUUGUCAAUCCUUGUUCUAAACCAAUGUUUCCCUUGGUUGCCAUAUCUCUCCCUAGCAAGUAACCCAAAUAUUUAUUGGCUAAGGCUGUUCUUAAUACAAUUUUUUGUUGUUGUUUUCCUCAUUUUGGUAAUUAAUCAAACCUCUGUGCAGAAAUAUUAUAAUAGGUGUUAUUAUACACAUAAUAGAGGCAGUUAGGUGGCACAAAGGAUAAAAUGCUUGGAGUUAGAAAGACCUAAAUUCAAAACCAGCCUCCAUCACUUACUAUUUGUGUUAUCCUGGGCAAGUCCCUUAACCUCUGUCUGUCUCAGUUUCCUAAACUCUAAAAUGAUUAUCAUAACACAUCUCCCUCCCAGGAUUGUUGUAAGGAUCAAAUGAUUUUAUAUUUAUAAAGCACUUAGCAU